UACGUAGGGUGCAAGCGUUGUCCGGAAUUAUUGGGCGUAAAGAGCUCGUAGGCGGCUUGUCGCGUCGGCUGUGAAAACCUAGGGCUCAACCCUGGGCCUGCAGCCGAUACGGGCAAGCUAGAAUUCGGUAGGGGAGACUGGAAUUCCUGGUGUAGCGGUGAAAUGCGCAGAUAUCAGGAGGAACACCGGUGGCGAAGGCGGGUCUCUGGGCCGAUAUUGACGCUGAGGAGCGAAAAGCGUGGGGGAGCGAACAGG
rnacentral:rRNA from 1 species